UACGAAGGGGGCUAGCGUUGUUCGGAAUCACUGGGCGUAAAGGGCGCGUAGGCGGCUUUUCAAGUCGGGGGUGAAAGCCUGUGGCUCAACCACAGAAUUGCCUUCGAUACUGUUAGGCUUGAGACCGGAAGAGGGGCGUGGAAUUCCGGGUGUAGUGGUGAAAUGCGUAGAGAUCCGGAGGAACCCCAGAGGCGAAGGCGGCGCCCUGGCUCGCAACUGACGCUCAGACACGACAGCAUGGGGAGCGAACGGG
rnacentral:rRNA from 1 species